rnacentral:rRNA from 1 species
GACGAACGCUGGCGGCGUGCUUAACACAUGCAAGUCGAGCGGUAAGGCCCUUUCGGGGGUACGACGAGCGGCGAACGGGUGAGUAACACGUGGGUGACCUGCCCUCAGCUCUGGGAUAAGCCCGGGAAACCUGGGUCUAAUACUGGAUAUGACUCCACGGUGCAUGCCGUGGGGUGGAAAGCCUUGCGCGGCUGAGGAUGGGCCCGCGGCCUAUCAGCUUGUUGGUGGGGUGAUGGCCUACCAAGGCGACGACGGGUAGCCGGCCUGAGAGGGCGACCGGCCACACUGGGACUGAGACACGGCCCAGACUCCUACGGGAGGCAGCAGUGGGGAAUCUUGCGCAAUGGGCGAAAGCCUGACGCAGCGACG